rnacentral:rRNA from 1 species
GAUGAACGCUGGCGGCGUGCCUAAUACAUGCAAGUCGAGCGAACAGACGAGGAGCUUGCUCCUCUGACGUUAGCGGCGGACGGGUGAGUAACACGUGGAUAACCUACCUAUAAGACUGGGAUAACUUCGGGAAACCGGAGCUAAUACCGGAUAAUAUAUUGAACCGCAUGGUUCAAUAGUGAAAGACGGUUUUGCUGUCACUUAUAGAUGGAUCCGCGCCGCAUUAGCUAGUUGGUAAGGUAACGGCUUACCAAGGCAACGAUGCGUAGCCGACCUGAGAGGGUGAUCGGCCACACUGGAACUGAGACACGGUCCAGACUCCUACGGGACGCAGCAGUAGGGAAUCUUCCGCAAUGGGCGAAAGCCUGACGGAGCAACGCCGCGUGAGUGAUGAAGGUCUUCGGAUCGUAAAACUCUGUUAUUAGGGAAGAACAAAUGUGUAAGUAACUAUGCAUGUCUUGACGGUACCUAAUCAGAAAGCCACGGCUAACUACGUG